AAAUAAGAAUCAAAAUUUUUUGAACCUAGUUUCGACCUAGAUCUAUGAUGAGUUAACAUCCUUAUUUA
rnacentral:tRNA from 1 species